rnacentral:rRNA from 1 species
AUUGAACGCUGGCGGCAGGCCUAACACAUGCAAGUCGAACGGUAACAGGAAGCAGCUUGCUGCUUCGCUGACGAGUGGCGGACGGGUGAGUAAUGUCUGGGAAACUGCCUGAUGGAGGGGGAUAACUACUGGAAACGGUAGCUAAUACCGCAUAACGUCGCAAGACCAAAGAGGGGGACCUCAGGGCCUCUUGCCAUCGGAUGUGCCCAGAUGGGAUUAGCUAGUAGGUGGGGUAACGGCUCAACUAGGCGACGAUCCCUAGCUGGUCUGAGAGGAUGACCAGCCACACUGGAACUGAGACACGGUCCAGACUCCUACGGGAGGCAGCAGUGGGGAAUAUUGCACAAUGGGCGCAAGCCUGAUGCAGCCAUGCCGCGUGUAUGAAGAAGGCCUUCGGCUUGUAAAGUACUUUCAGCGGGGAGGAAGGGAGUAAAGUUAAUACCUUGGCUCAUUGACGUUACCCGCAGAAGAAGCACCGGCUAACUCCGUG